rnacentral:rRNA from 1 species
UACGGAGGGUGCGAGCGUUGUCCGGAAUCACUGGGCGUAAAGGGCGCGUAGGCGGCGCGGAAAGUCAACGGUGAAAGCUUGGGGCUCAACCCCGAGUCGGCCGUCGAUACUUCCGUGCUCGAGCACUGUAGAGGCAGGUGGAAUUCCGGGUGUAGCGGUGGAAUGCGUAGAGAUCCGGAAGAACACCGGUGGCGAAGGCGGCAUCCUGGACCGAUACUGACGCUGAGGAGCGAAAGCCAGGGGAGCAAACGGG